rnacentral:rRNA from 1 species
AGUCCAGACUCCUACGGGAGGCAGCAGUGGGGAAUAUUGGGCAAUGGGCGCAAGCCUGACCCAGCAACGCCGCGUGAAGGAAGAAGGCCCUCGGGUUGUAAACUUCUUUUGUCAGGGACGAAGCAAGUGGCGGUACCUGACGAAUAAGCCACGGCUAACUACGUGCCAGCAGCCGCGGUAAUACGUAGGGGGCAAGCGUUAUCCGGAUUUACUGGGUGUAAAGGGCGUGUAGGCGGGGAAGCAAGUCAGAUGUGAAAUUCCAGGGCUCAACCCUGGAACUGCAUUUGAAACUGUGUUUCUUGAGUGCUGGAGAGGCAAUCGGAAUUCCGUGUGUAGCGGUGAAAUGCGUAGAUAUACGGAGGAACACCAGUGGCGAAGGCGGAUUGCUGGACAGUAACUGACGCUGAGGCGCGAAAGCGUGGGGAGCAAACAGGAUUAGAUACCCUAGUAG